AACGAACGCUGGCGGCAGGCCUAACACAUGCAAGUCGAACGCCCUAGCAAUAGGGAGUGGCAGACGGGUGAGUAACACGUGGGAACCUUCCCUAUAGUACGGAAUAGCCCAGGGAAACUUGUAGUAAUACCGUAUAUGCCCGAGAGGGGAAAGACUUAUACGCUAUAGGAUGGGCCCGCGUGGGAUUAGCUAGUUGGUGAGGUAACGGCUCACCAAGGCAACGAUCCGUAGCUGGUUUGAGAGAAUGACCAGCCACACUGGGACUGAGACACGGCGCAGACUCCAACGGGAGGGAGCAGUGGGGAAUCUUGGACAAUGGGAGCAAGCCUGUUCCAACCAUGCCGCGUGAGUGAGAAGGGCCUUAGGGUUGUAAAGCUCUUUUGUCGGGGACGAUAAUGACGGUACCCGAAGAAUAAGCUCCGGCUAACUUCUUGCCAGCCGCCGCCGUAA
rnacentral:rRNA from 1 species